rnacentral:rRNA from 1 species
UACAGAGGGUGCAAGCGUUGUUCGGAAUUACUGGGCGUAAAGCGCGUGUAGGCGGCUUGUUAAGUCAGAUGUGAAAUCCCUCGGCUCAACCGAGGAACUGCAUUUGAUACUGGCGAGCUUGAGUGUCGGAGGGGAUGGUAGAAUUCCUGGUGUAGAGGUGAAAUUCGUAGAUAUUCGGAAGAACACCAGUGGCGAAGGCGGCUACCUGGCUUGGUACUGACGCUCAGAUGCGAAAGCGUGGGGAGCAAACAGG